GACGAACGCUGGCGGCGUGCCUAAUACAUGCAAGUAGGACGCAGUUGCGAACGGGUGAGUAACGCGUAGGUAACUACCUAUUAGAGGGGGAUAACUAUUGGAAACGAUAGCUAAUACCGCAUACUAGUAGAUAGACCUGCGUUGUAUUAGCUAGUCGGUAGGGUAAUGGCCUACCUAGGCAACGAGACCUAGCCGACCUGAGAGGGAGAUCGGCCAAGCGUGGACUGGGACACGGCCCAGUCUCCUGAGGGAGGCAACAGUAGGGGAUCUUCGGAAAUGGGGGGAAACCUGACCGAGCAACGCCGAGUGAGUGAAGAAGGUUUUCGGAUCGUAAAGCUCUGUUGUUAAGGAAGCGGUACUUAACCAGAAAGGGACGGCUAACUACGUGCCAGCAGCCGCGGUAAUUC
rnacentral:rRNA from 1 species